CCCCGCGUUCUUGCACGGCUCGUUCUUCGAGCCUCUUCUCCCGUCCCCCUCUCCUUUUUACUUUAUCGUCCAAAACAAGGCCGUAUGGAGUAUAGCCAAGUGGUAAGGCAUCGGUUUUUGGUACCCGGCAUGCAAAGGUUCGAAUCCUUUUACUCCAGAUUAUGAACACCCGAUCGGAUCUGUCAAGAACGAGCUGACGACUACAGGGGAAGCGGCUGAUUGCAGUCCCUGAGCCCAGCCCCCGGAGCCGGAGCCGG